rnacentral:rRNA from 1 species
UGAGUAACACGUAUCCAACCUGCCGUCUACUCUUGGACAGCCUUCUGAAAGGAAGAUCAAUACAAGAUGGCAUCAUGAGUCCGCAUGUUCACAUGAUUAAAGGUAUUCCGGUAGACGAUGGGGAUGCGUUCCAUUAGAUAGUAGGCGGGGUAACGGCCCACCUAGUCUUCGAUGGAUAGGGGUUCUGAGAGGAAGGUCCCCCACAUUGGAACUGAGACACGGUCCAA